CUUGUAGAUUAUUAAGUCUAUAUUUAAUUUGCGGUGGUUUACACAGCCCCCAAAAUAAUACCUACUGCCUCCCACAGAGAGGGAGGAAAGAUGUGUGGUCUGCACCCUGACCAGCAGGGGAUGGGUUCCCACAGCAUCCAAUGCACUUCUGUGCAAGGAAGAGCAGAUCCAGUGGCUGCCUCUUCUCUGAGGUGAGGGUGCAAAAUUUGUGUCAAUUAACCCUUCCUGCAGGGCCAUACAGCUAGGAGUGGCAGCUGUGAUCUGGGAUGGGAAAUGAUGAGAUGGAAUCAACAGCGGAAAGCAAUUGUGUUGGCAUCUGAUGGGUUAAGUUUAGGUGUAGCUCGUCACAGCCAUGAGCCCCAUGGUUUGAGGACAAGGAUCAUUCACUCAGUGCAGCACACAAAGCACCACUGAACUUCAUGCCAUCCUCCAGGCAAGCCCUGGGGAGCUAUGGUCUCAACAGCUAGUUAACAACUAGUUAAAGGGAACAAUGCAACUCCAACUUCCCCUUGAGAACUGUGUUAAAUGCGGACAAAUGACCCAGCAACACGUUCAGAGACAUGGGAUACCACCAAGAAGGGGUGGUUGUGCGUCCUUCCUGCUCUGACAGACUGCGCUGAAGAAAUAUUUCUUCUAGACAGUGGCAACGUUAUCAGCUUGGUCAUCCUUGUGAGAUUUCUAGUAUCUGUGGGUAUGUGCAAAGAAACACUUCACAAAGCAAGUUCCUCUUUGGGGAUCAUGGGAUUCGAAGCGCAUUCUGCGGCUCUUGACGUUCACAUCUGUUGGUUGUAUGUUUGAAGUUCCAGUUUGGACCUGCUCUGGGCUCAGAUAAAAGAGGAAGAACAUGAUGUUGUCCUAAAGGAGGGUGCUGGCAUGAAACCACAGGCGGUCACUUGUGGCUGUGAGCUUUGCUUUGUCCCUGUCAGAAAAGGGAGGAGGAGGAGAGCAAUUCUGGGGAGCUGCAGGACUCCAGGUUUCUCAGACAACUCCUUCUCAAGCCACAGUGCAUAGAACAAUAUUAUCAUUGGUGAUAGAGGUGGGUGUCAUCAAGUCUUGGUGGCACAUUGUUAAAUAUGCAUUAAACUGCGCAGGCUCAAAAUCUUCCUCUCUCCAGAACGUUUCUGUUGGGCUAUUUUGGAGAUGAAAUGUUUUCUCCCUCAGUUAGGGCUGUAAGAUCCCUGCUCAGGGUCUGGUGCUUUGCUCCCUGGGCUAAGUCCCUCUGCACAGCAGUGCUGCUGUUCAUCCAGCAGCCACAUUUCCUGGGCUUGGGCACAGCCUCAUCCCUUCUGCCAUCACAGUGAAAAGUGGAUAGGGAAAACUGAGCGUAAACUGGCUGAUAUUUUUGCCGAGUACAGGCUGACUUAAUUUUGGAAACAGAGGCACGACAGCACUUGCGAUGCCAAGAAAGCCUUUCUGAAGUGAAAGUAUAUCCUUUAUUUUUCCACUGUGUUUUUUUUCAUGAUCCCUCCGCAGAUGAAAAUGUCGGUGUUAAAUAAAAAUGAGAGCAAGUCACUUGGUUGACUCUUA
rnacentral:lncRNA from 1 species